UGGGGAAUAUUGCACAAUGGGCGCAAGCCUGAUGCAGCCAUGCCGCGUGUGUGAAGAAGGCCUUCGGGUUGUAAAGCACUUUCAGCGAGGAGGAAGGUGGUGAACUUAAUACGUUCAUCAAUUGACGUUACUCGCAGAAGAAGCACCGGCUAACUCCGUGCCAGCAGCCGCGGUAAUACGGAGGGUGCAAGCGUUAAUCGGAAUUACUGGGCGUAAAGCGCACGCAGGCGGUUUGUUAAGUCAGAUGUGAAAUCCCCGGGCUCAACCUGGGAACUGCAUUUGAAACUGGCAAGCUAGAGUCUCGUAGAGGGGGGUAGAAUUCCAGGUGUAGCGGUGAAAUGCGUAGAGAUCUGGAGGAAUACCGGUGGCGAAGGCGGCCCCCUGGACGAAGACUGACGCUCAGGUGCGAAAGCGUGGGGAGCAAACGGGAUUAGAUACCCUGGUAGUCCACGCUGUAAACGAUGUCGAUUUGGAGGUUGUGCCCUUGAGGCGUGGCUUCCGGAGCUAACGCGUUAAAUCGACCGCCUGGGGAGUACGG
rnacentral:rRNA from 1 species